UAUAAUGUUGAUAUAUAUAUAUAUACUAUGUCAUAAAUGGUACCAUUGUAUGACAAAUGCAACCGUGCAUGUGCGGGGUGAGUGUGCACUUGCCGGUGAUGAUGGUGGUGAGGGAGAUGGAUGGUGAUAUUGUCCAGCUAUGUGCACGAUGUGGUGGGAUGCACAUGAGCUGGGUGAGAUGGAUGUCUGGCUAUGUGCACGAUGUGGUGGGAUACACAUGACCUGGGUGAGAUGGGAUGUCUG
rnacentral:lncRNA from 1 species